rnacentral:rRNA from 1 species
AAUGAACGCUGGCGGCAUGCCUUACACAUGCAAGUCGAACGGCAGCAUGAUCUAGCUUUCUAGGUUGAUGGCGAGUGGCGCACGGGUGAGUAAUGCAUCGCAACGUGUCUUUUUUUGGGGGAUAUCGUAGCGAAAGUUACGCUAAUACCGCAUAUUCUCUGAGGAGGAAAGCAGGGGACCUUCGGGCCUCGCGCUAGAAUGGCGGCCGAUGUCGGAUUAGCUAGUUGGUGAGGUAAAGGCUCACCAAGGCAACGAUCCGUAGCGGGUCUGAGAGGAUGAUCCGCCACACUGGAACUGAGACACGGCCCAGACUCCUACGGGAGGCAGCAGUGGGGAAUUUUGGACAAUGGGCGCAAGCCUGAUCCAGCCAUGCCGCGUGAGUGAAGAAGGCCUUCGGGUUGUAAAGCUCUUUCGGCGGGGAAGAAAUGGCACCGUCUAAUACAGGGUGUGGAUGACGGUACCAGCAUAAGAAGCACCGGCUAACUACGUG